GACGAACGCUGGCGGCGUGCUUAACACAUGCAAGUCGAACGGAAAGGCCCUGCUUUUGUGGGGUGCUCGAGUGGCGAACGGGUGAGUAACACGUGAGUAACCUGCCCUUGACUUUGGGAUAACUUCAGGAAACUGGGGCUAAUACCGGAUAGGAGCUCCUGCUGCAUGGUGGGGGUUGGAAAGUUUCGGCGGUUGGGGAUGGACUCGCGGCUUAUCGGCUUGUUGGUGGGGUAGUGGCUUACCAAGGCUUUGACGGGUAGCCGGCCUGAGAGGGUGACCGGGCACAUUGGGACUGAGAUACGGCCCAGACUCCUACGGGAGGCAGCAGGGGGGAAUCUUGCACAAUGGGCGGAAGCCUGAUGCAGCAACGCCGCGUGCGGGAUGACGGCCUUCGGGUUGUAAACCGCUUUCGCCUGUGACGAAGCGUGAGUGACGGUAAUGGGUAAAGAAGCACCGGCUAACUACGUG
rnacentral:rRNA from 1 species